rnacentral:misc_RNA from 1 species
CCAGUUCCAUGAAGCAAGCUUUGCAAAUAUCACCAGAGUAAACAGCUAUGUUUGCUCAUGCACGGUAAUAACGAACCAAUUACAUGUACAUUAUACACAAAAAAAUCGAUGUAGGCCUUAAUGUUUAUUGACCUUGGGGAUUUAUAUGUAUAUGGCAUCUGUGUAGUAUGUAAAUGUUACAAUAAUAAGUACUUUUCAUGUAUAUGAGACAACAAUGUUUUUAUAGUUAUCACUACUAACCGAGCAGGCCUAAUUCUCAAAGGAUUGAGAACAGUGCCUGCAUGCAUCUAGAUUUUUCGUAAUGUAAUAAAAAAACAUUUCUUUAUUCAUUUCGAUAAACUAAUAGAAUCAUAAUAUUCCAGGAAACAUGUGCAUGAAUUUCCAAUUGUUUACAUUGAAGUGGGGUCAUUAUUAAUACUUAUCUAGGUGGUGGUGAAUCUUCCAUGGCAACCAAUUCCUGAGAGUUUAAGACCAGCUAGGGACACAUGCAUUAUCACCCCUGACGAAUUUGACUGGUCAUUUGAAAGAGGAUAUUGUGCAAGAAGAGGCGAUAGAUCUGGCUCUGGUCCAUGUAAAUGGAUUGCUCCAAAAACUGCUGCGUGUCCUUAAAUUUAGUAUUGACCUAAUUUUAUGAGACAAAAUAUGCAAACCUUUAAUAAAAAAUGAAACAUUC